rfam:Proteobacteria bacterium HN_bin10 436, whole genome shotgun sequence.
GCGGGCUCAUCACGCGGGCGCCCGCUCAGACGAUGAUCGUCCAAGUCCCGC